CACGUAGUUAGCCGUCCCUUUCUGGUAAGCUACCGUCACAGUGUGAACUUUCCACUCUCACACCCGUUCUUGACUUACAACAGAGCUUUACGAUCCGAAAGCCUUCUUCACUCACGCGGCGUUGCUCGGUCAGGGUUGCCCCCAUUGCCGAAGAUUCCCUACUGCUGCCUCCCGUAGGAGUCUGGGCCGUGUCUCAGUCCCAGUGUGGCCGAUCACCCUCUCAGGUCGGCUAUGUAUCGUCGCCUAGGUGAGCCAUUACCUCACCUACUAGCUAAUACAACGCAGGUCCAUCUUGUAGUGGAGCAAUUGCCCCUUUCAAAUAAAUGACAUGUGUCAUCCAUUGUUAUGCGGUAUUAGCUAUCGUUUCCAAUAGUUAUCCCCCGCUACAAGGCAGGUUACCUACGCGUUACUCACCCGUUCGCAACUCAUCCAAGAAGAGCAAGCUCCUCUCUUCAGCGUUCUACUUGCAUGUAUUAGGCACGCCGCCAGCGUUCGUCC
rnacentral:rRNA from 1 species